rnacentral:tRNA from 1 species
GUCCAAGGAUGGGAAACGAACCCACAAUGUUCCGCUUACCGGGCAGAUGCCAUGUCCACUAGGCUACCCUGGA